UGGCGAUGGGCGUGGCCGCGGCGCCGGGGCUCCCAUAUCGAGGCUGCCUCCCCCUCUCAGCCGGCCGCACAUUCCGCCGCCGUUGCCGCCGCCCGGCCCCGCAGUUGUUUUCACCGGAGCUGCUGUCGUUCUGGGGUUAGGGAGGGGGGGCGGGCGGGGAGAGCAGGAGAAGGCCGCGGCGGAGGCAAGUGAGAGGAGGAAGGAAGCGGCCGCCCGGAGGGCAUAGCAGCUCAGGCGGCGGCCGGGUUCCUGGGAGUGUCGGUGCGGCGCGGUGGUUGGGGCGGAUCCCGCGGGGCCCGGGCGGGGGAAGGAGUCACCGGCCCGGCCAUGGCGGACAACGAGAAAUUAGACAACCAACGGCUCAAGAAUUUCAAGAACAAAGGCCGUGACUUGGAGGUAAAUUCCGGGGCGCCGGCGGGUGGGG
rnacentral:lncRNA from 1 species